rnacentral:tRNA from 1 species
UGGUCCGUUGGUCAAGGGGUUAAGACACCGCCUUUUCACGGCGGUAACACGGGUUCGAAUCCCCGUACGGACUAU